GGGCGGUUAGCUCAGCUGGUGAGAGCGCUGGUCUCACAUACCAGAGGUCGUUGGUUCGAAUCCAAUACCGCCCA
rnacentral:tRNA from 1 species